rnacentral:rRNA from 1 species
AGAGUUUGAUCCUGGCUCAGGAUGAACGCUAGCUACAGGCUUAACACAUGCAAGUCGAGGGGCAUCAGGGUGUAGCAAUACACCGCUGGCGACUGGCGCACGGGUGAGUAACACGUAUCCAACCUGCCCUUUACUCGGGGAUAGCCUUUCGAAAGAAAGAUUAAUACCCGAUGGCAUAACAUGACCUCCUGGUUUUGUUAUUAAAGAAUUUCGGUAGAGGAUGGGGAUGCGUUCCAUUAGGCAGUUGGCGGGGUAACGGCCCACCAAACCUUCGAUGGAUAGGGGUUCUGAGAGGAAGGUCCCCCACAUUGGAACUGAGACACGGUCCAAACUCCUACGGGAGGCAGCAGUGAGGAAUAUUGGUCAAUGGGCGAGAGCCUGAACCAGCCAAGUAGCGUGAAGGAUGACCGCCCUAUGGGUUGUAAACUUCUUUUAUAUGGGAAUAAAGGGUGCCACGUGUGGCAUUUUGUAUGUACCAUAUGAAUAAGGAUCGGCUAACUCCGUGCCAGCAGCCGCGGU